UUCCUUAAGUAUGGGUUACCAAAAGAAUGA
rnacentral:piRNA from 1 species